rnacentral:lncRNA from 1 species
UUAUUAAUGCAUUAAUAACAUUUAUUUAUAAUCUAUACCUACAAUCUAUAAUUUAUACUCUCUCCGUUUAAAAAAGAAUGACCUACUUUCCUUUUUAGUCAUUUUAAAAAAGAAUGACCCCUUUUCCUUUUUAGCAACUUUUUAAUUUUAACUUUUCACAUGGCAUGUUUAAGACCACAAGAUUGAAUGACAUUUUGGUACAUUUGACAUAUCUUUAAUU